AUUGAACGCUGGCGGCAGGCCUAACACAUGCAAGUCGAGCGAGCGGCGGACGGGUGAGUAAUGUCUGUGAAACUGCCUGAUGGAGGGGGAUAACUACUGGAAACGGUAGCUAAUACCGCAUACCAUCAGAUGUGCCCCGAUGGGAUUUGCUAGUAGGUGGGGAAACGGCUCACCUAGGCGACGAUCCCUACCUGGUCUGAGCGGAUGACCAGCCACACUGGAACUGAGACACGGUCCAGACUCCUACGGGGGGCAGCAGUGGGAAAUAUUGCACAAUGGGCGAAAGCCUGAUGCAGCCAUGCCGGGUGUGUGAAGAAGGCCGUCGGGUUGUAAAGCACUUUCAGCGGGGAGGGGUUACCGGAAGAAGAAGCACCGGCUAACUCCGUGCCAGCAGCCGCGGUAUUG
rnacentral:rRNA from 1 species